rnacentral:misc_RNA from 1 species
GUAGGUGAACCUGCGGAAGGAUCAUUAACACGUAUCCACGUUAAUAUCAACCACCACGAACUGUGCUCCCUAGGCCUCCAACUUCUCAGCUGUCUGAUGUAGGAUACAAAUGGAUGCUGCCCCAUGCUGACGAAAGUCUAGGCAUCUGGGUAUGCAGUCUUAUGUUAGACUUUCACUCCUCCGAGAGUGUGGCAGAGUGACCGGAGCUUAGGCUUAUUAUUUUCAUGUCAAUCCUCUUUCUCGACCAUUU